GUUGAAAUAUGCGAAUACCUGUGAAAAUAGAGGAAAAAGUCGUUUCUGACACUGAAAAGCGAAUUUAACAUUUAAGUGAGUCAAAUGAGUUCAAAAAGUGAAUACGACUUUCUGCUCUAAUGUAAACGCCUGCAGUUGUACAUAUCGACAUGUAAAUCAUACAAAUUACGUACAAUAUAGUCGGACUGCAGGUCUAAAAGAACCGACGAUCCAGUUCAAAUAAACCGGUUCAGUAAGUUAAUUCUCGAACAAAUUUCCCGGAAAAGAAUCGACGUCUCAGGGCAUUUCAAAGUGCGCGCGCACGCACAGCGAUUGACUAAGGACGCGUUAGUGAGGUGUUUUGAUGCUUUUGUGGUUUAUAAAGUCUUUCUACAUACAAAUUAUAAUUCAAAAUGUGUUUUUUCCUGUCAGAAAAGCACAUGGAUACAUUUGUGAGAGAAUAACUCGUCGAGUGCAGUCUUAUUGAUGCGUCUAACGGUUGGAACAAACAUGGAAUUCCUUAACCGAGCAGAGUCCACAAAACCCCAUCCAAUUGUCGUGGUGAUUUAAAAAUGGCAGCGGAUCUCUCAGGCGUUGAUCAUAAUCAAUGGACAGGUCACCGUAGCCACCAGAUCCAGUACACAUCCAGAUCAGAUGGUGGAUCAGCACCUAGAAAGGACCUCUACAUCCCUGAAAGACAGCGGACAACUAGAGCCCCAGAUACAGAUCCCCUGUAAAGACCUCAUCUCAGAGGACCACCAG
rnacentral:lncRNA from 1 species